CCAUCUAUCCAUCCAUCCAUUCAUCUGUUCUAUCUAUGUAUCUAUCUUAUGUAUCUAUCCAUUCAUCUAUCCCAUCUUAUCUAUCCAUCCCAUCUUAUCUGUCCAUCCGUCCAUCCAUCCAUGUAUCUACCUAUCUACCUGUCUACCUACCUACCUACAUAUUCUAUAGUUCUGCUCUCUGGAUAACCCUGUUCUAUACUGUGAGUAUUUAAUGAGUUAACAUGUACAUUGUUUAGGAAGUGCUAGUUAAGUAUGUCUCUUAUUUCUGAAUCUAGCUACUUAUUUUUGUGAUAAUAAAAAUGUAAAUGCUGGUUGGCAAAUGACCCACAUGUUACAGGAGGACAUAAAAUAGCACGAAGUUUCCUCACCCUGGGCCAGGACUGUCACAUUCCCCAGAGCAACACUGUAAACUGGUGUGUCCUCUUCUAGACAUCUCCUCUGCGUGAAUGUGUGCGCACACACACACACGUUAAUGUGAGUGGCAGCUCAUGCCCUGCGCAUGCCUUGCUACUUUCAUGUACAGCGGCUGAGGCCUCUAGUGGAGGACGGACCUCAGCAGCCUCCCUGGCUCUGCCACCCAGUAGGGCCUGACUCAGCAACAGGCCUAUCCUGGGCACUUCCCUUGUCCUGCUGUUUUGCCGUGACAUAGGCUGCUAGGCUGCAUGCUUGCACGGAGACCUUGCCCUGUGAGCCAGGCUGGCCGUCUGGAGGACAGAUUCCCAGCCACUAGCCUGCUGGCUUCAGGCUGGCACAUUUACAAUGCAAAUCUCUUCAAAUCCCCUGCACAAAGCUUCUCUGGCCACUCACUGGCCGCGUCUCUGUGCUCCCUGCCUUCUAGAUUUCUACUCAGAUUCUCUCCAGCGUUCAGAAUGAUGGAUCUUGUCAAUCUGUGCCGAUCGUUGGGUGGAAAUGGCACUGCAGGGCCUCCGUUCUGAUUUCCUUCAUCAGUAGGCAUGGCAGGCAUCUCUUUGGAAGUUAAGAGACCACAUGUAUGUGUAUUUCCUUGAGCGGCCUGUCUGUCUUUAGGGAAGCUCGUUUUGCUUUGGUUGGUCCUUGUGAUUGUUGGGACUGUUUAUACUGGGCACGCCUGAAACCCAGCUCUCCUAGGCUUGCUCAGCAAGAGAAACGUGCUGGGCCACCGUUGCCCAAGUCCAGGCUUGAGGGGUUCAAGUGUACUAGGGCUUUGCUCCAUUUCUCUGAUCCUGACAGCUCUGCCCUUCUCCACUGCCAGCUUUGUCUGCAGGUGGAGGAGAACAGACAGUGGUUUCCCAGCACCACCUCAUGGUCUUUCCAGGAUGCACUGAGUGGCAGAAACUCCAAUUCUGAGAACAAUAACUCCACAAUGGCCUCGGCCUCGGAGGGUGAAAUGGAGUCUGGGCAGGAGCUGAAGGAGGAAGGGGGCCCGUGCUUGUUCCCGGGCUCAGACAGUUGGCAAGAAAACCCCGAGGAGCCCUGUUCCAAAGCCUCCUGGACCGUCCAAGAAGGAGCUACAUCAGAGGUUUUGGUAGAUGCUACUGUAGACCUCAUAUCCGAUGAAUGGGAAGCUGCUAAUGCCACACCCAGCAAGAGAAGGAAGCAGGAUGCAGCCCCGCUUGAGGCCGCCAGCGUGCCUUCUGCAGACUGUGAGCAGAGCAAAAAGAAGAAAAGGAAGAAGAAAAAGAAGGGGAACAAGUCCGCUUCCUCAGAGCUGGCUUCCUUGCCCCUGUCUCCUGCCAGCCCCUGUCACCUGACUUUGCUUUCAAACCCGUGGCCUCAGGACACAGCCCUGCCCCACAGCCAAGCCCAGCAGAGUGGCCCCACUGGCCAGCCGAGCCAGCCCCCGGGCACAGCCACCACGCCACUGGAGGGUGACGGCCUCUCCGCGCCCACCGAGGUUGGCGACAGCCCCCUGCAGGCCCAGGCUUUGGGAGAGGCAGGAGUGGCCACAGGAAGUGAGGCUCAGAGCAGCCCCCAAUCCCAGGACCACACGGAAGGGGAGGACCAGGACGCUUCCAUCCCCUCUGGGGGCAGAGGCCUGUCCCAGGAGGGGACCGGUCCCCCUACCUCUGCUGGUGAAGGCCAUUCUAGGACUGAAGAUGCUGCCCAGGAGCUCCUGUUGCCUGAGUCAAAAGGAGGCAGCUCUGAGCCCAGGACAGAACUGCAGACCACCGAGCAACAGGCAGGGGCCUCAGCCUCUACGGCAGUUGAUGCUGCAGCUGAGCCAGCCAAUGCAGUUAAAGGGGCCGGGAAGGAAAUGAAAGAGAAGACCCAGAGAAUGAAACAGCCGCCAGCAACCACUCCUGCUUCCAAAACACACUGCCAGGAAGCUGAGACCAAGACCAAGGACGAGAUGGCUGCUGCUGAAGAAAAAGUUGGUAAAAAUGAGCGAGGGGAGCCUGAAGACCUCAAGAAGCCAGAGGGGAAGAACAGAAGUGCAGCUGCUGUGAAAAACGAGAAGGAGCAAAAAAACCAGGAAGCAGAUGUCCAGGAAGUGAAGGCAAGCAUGCUGAGCCCGGGCGGAGGAGUCACCGUGUUCUUCCACGCCAUCAUCUCUCUUCAUUUCCCAUUCAUUCCUGACCUCCAUAAAGUCGUCAUCAGAGGAGGAGAAGAAUUUGGGGGGUCAAAAUGGGACAGCAAUGUCUGUGAGCUGCACUACACCAGAGACUUGGGUCAUGACCGCGUUCUUGUUGAAGGCAUUGUCUGCAUUUCCAAGAAGCACCUAGAUAAAUACAUUCCUUACAAGUACGUCAUUUAUAAUGGGGAAUCUUUUGAGUAUGAGUUCAUUUACAAGCACCAGCAGAAGAAGGGCGAGUACGUCAACCGCUGUCUGUUCAUAAAAUCUUCACUUCUGGGCUCAGGAGACUGGCAUCAGUACUAUGACAUAGUUUAUAUGAAGCCUCAUGGGAGACUCCAGAAAGUCAUGAGCCACAUCAUAGACGGGCCGAGGAAGGACCUGGUGAAGGGGAAGCAGAUUGCCGCUGUGCUCAUGCUGGACAGCACCUUCAGCAUCCUGCAGACCUGGGACACCAUGAACCUGAACAGCUUCUUCACCCAGUUCGAGCAGUUUUGCUUUGUCCUGCAACAGCCUAUGAUUUAUGAAGGACAGGCACAGCUGUGGACCGAUUUGCAGUACAGGGAGAAAGAGGUGAAGAGAUACCUGUGGCAACAUCUGAAAAAGCACGUGGUAUCAUUGCUGUACGGAAAAAGCACGGACUCUUUGCCUAUGGACUGCCCAGUGAGGAGUAAACUGAAAAUAGGCCUGAUUGUCCUUUUUGUAGUGGAAAAAAUUGAGCUUUUAUUAGAAGGCAGCCUGGACUGGUUGUGUCACCUCCUAAUCUCAGAUGCCAGCUCACCAGAUGAGUUUCACCAUGACCUAAGCCACAUCCUUGGGAUACCUCAGAGCUGGCGGCUGUACCUGGUGAACCUGUGCCAAAGAUGCAUGGACACAAGGACGUACGCCUGGCUGGGCACCCUGCCUGUCCUGCACUGCUGUAUGGAGCUGGCCCCGCGGCACAAGGAUGCCUGGAGACAGCCUGAGGACACCUGGGCCGCUCUGGAGGGACUCUCCUUCUCACCGUUCCGGGAACAAAUGCUAGAUACGAGCUCCCUACUUCAGUUUAUGAGAGAGAAGCAGCAUUUGCUGAGCAUAGACGAGCCUCUCUUCCGGUCCUGGUUUAGUCUGCUACCUCUGAGUCACCUGGUUAAGUAUAUGGAAAACUUCAUUGAGCACCUGGGUCGUUUUCCUGCUCAUAUCCUGGACUGUUUUUCAGGGAUUUACUACCGGCUUCCGGGACUUGAGCAAGUCUUGAAUAUGCAGGAUGUUCAGGAUGUUCAGAACGUUCAGAACAUUUUAGAAAUGCUGUUGCGACUCCUGGACACUUACCGGGACAAGAUUCCCGAGGAGGCCUUGUCACCAUCCUACCUGACUGUGUGUCUGAAACUGCAUGAAGCCAUCUGCAGCAGCACAAAGCUACUUAAGUUUUACGAGCUGCCAGCCUUAUCUGCCGAGAUUGUCUGCAGAAUGAUUAGACUUCUAUCUCUGGUGGAUUCUGCAGGACAGGGAGAUGAAACUGGAAAUAAUUCAGUCCAAACAGUCGUCCAAGGGACCCUUGCUGCUACGAAAAGGUGGCUCCGAGAAGUUUUUACAAAGAACAUGCUCACAUAUUCAGGUGCCUCAUUCACAUACGUCAAGGAAAUUGAGGUAAGCAUUUGGCCGAAGGCUUCUGGGUAGGGAUGUGACUGAUCGUGAUUCCUCAUGGCCUCAAAUCAUGGGGUACAGGCUGCUGGCCAGGGGCAGUUGUUGGCCUUCACCUGAGCCUCGGUUCUUCAUCUACAAAAUGGUGUUGCUCCUGUCUACCUGGCAGGGUGGCUCUGAGGCAGACAGAUGCCGGGUGCAAAGUGCUGCUGCACUGCCUCGUGUCCCCUGGCCGGGCACAGUCCCUGUGGUGAUGGAGGUGUGGAGGUGAUGGUGAUGGUUGGUGGUGGUGGUGGUGGUAGAGGUGAUGGUGGUGAAGGU
rnacentral:lncRNA from 1 species